GUUUCAACAGCCAUUGCACAUGCUAUCAAUGCUCUGAGACACGCCGGCAUACCCUGUACCGGAGCUCGAACUACUUUGGAAAAGAAUGCUAUGGGACGCAUACCGCCUCCUUGCUCUUGUGCACAGACCGCGGCCAUGGUUUUACAAUUGUCCCAAGCAUACAAAUGAAAUGGUUUACAAUACACAGGUAGUCCUAAAGCCUGGGCUUGCACAAUAACAACUGUAAGGGCAAUAUAUGCAGCUAGCAUGUCUGGUGACCAGCAGACAUUUUCAGGGCUGUCAGAACGUACAGCCUCCCUUAGGAUUGAGUCAUAAUGGGAGCAUUCAGGGAUCCAUGGUGGCAGUAAUUAAUCAUGCCGAGGAAGGUGAGCAACUCCUUCCGAAUAGUGGGUGUAGGAAUCCUCUGAAUGACCUCAAUACAUUUUGGACUCAAUUGUCUGGUGCCUAAAGCCAGAACAAAACCUAAGUAUUCAACCUUUGAUUUACACAAUUGCAUUUUGUGUUUAACAACCUUGUGACCUACAGUUGCUGACAGUAUCCACAGUGCUUGCCUCAGAGCUAGGGCUACAUAACAACAAAUCAUCAACAUUUUGCAAAAAGGACGGAACCAUGACCGGUGGUCCAUGUUUUUUUAGAGUAUGUUGGAGUACCAACGAAUAAACAGCUGGGGAAUCCACAUAGCCUUGGGUAAGCGUGUCCAGGUAAACUGACAGCCUUCAAAAAGUAAAAACCAUAAGUAGCUGUGUCUCUUGAUCAAUAGAUAUAGAAAAAAUGCAUUACUUAAAUCAAUGACAGUGAAGCAAGUGGCAUCAUGUGGAAUGGCUGUAAUGAGGGAUGUCACAUCAGGGACAAUGGGUGAAAUGGGCACAAUUAAACUAUUCAGGGCUCUAAAGUCCUGAACUAAGCGAUAUGCUGGCCAGUGGUGUUGGGAGUGGGUCUGGUGUUGUUCUUGCCUACCGGGCAUAUUUUGAGAAUUGUGGGGUUGUUGGGGUGUGUGGGGUUUCCUGGGGUGUGGACACUCAUUCCUCCAGUGGCCACAGUUGAAACAAGUGUUCCUGUCUAUUCCUCCUUGGUUACCCCUGCCCCUAUAACCCUGAUUUCCCUGUCUCCAUCCCCUUGCCCCUCUUUGACCACCCCUUCCGCGGGCUUUAUGUGCUCCAUCCCAUCCUCGCUCUCAGCCUGUGUAGGUGGCAAUCCCUGAGCAUAAUAAGCAACCUUACUUUCCUAAAUCUUUUCUUAAUUCAAA